UGGGGAAUUUUGGACAAUGGGGGCAACCCUGAUCCAGCAAUGCCGCGUGUGUGAAGAAGGCCUUCGGGUUGUAAAGCACUUUUGUCCGGAAAGAAAUCGCCCUGGCUAAUAUCCGGGGUGGAUGACGGUACUGGAAGAAUAAGCACCGGCUAACUACGUGCCAGCAGCCGCGGUAAUACGUAGGGUGCGAGCGUUAAUCGGAAUUACUGGGCGUAAAGCGUGCGCAGGCGGUUGUGCAAGACAGAUGUGAAAAUCCCCCGGGCUUAAACCUGGGAAUGGCAUUUGUGACUGCACGGCCAGAGUGUGUCAGAGGGGGGUAGAAUUCCACGUGUAGCAGUGAAAUGCGUAGAUAUGUGGAGGAACACCGAUGGCGAAGGCAGCCCCCUGGGAUAACACUGACGCUCAUGCACGAAAGCGUGGGGAGCAAACAGGAUUAGAUACCCUGGUAGUCCACGCCCUAAACGAUGUCAACUAGUUGUCGGGUCUUAAUUGACUUGGU
rnacentral:rRNA from 1 species